GGGUCCGGACACACUGAGGAUUGACAGGCAAAAGAUACAAGUUUUCUUUGUGAGAGCUUGCAUUGUAAAAUAUGCGAGUCCUUUCAUGAUUAUGUGAUAGGUGGUGCAUGGCCGUUCUUAGUUCGUGGAGUGAUCUGUCUGCUUAAUUGCGUUUCACAACGAUUUAAAAUGCUAUGUUUUCUGUGUUUGCUGUUCGGUUUUAGCUCUUACGGGAGUUUUUAACUUUGAACGCACACGGCGUAGCUUAAAACAAUCGGAAAGCAACGAACGUGACCGCAACCUCUUGUUGCCUUUAUUUUUAAAAGCGUGGAAAAUUUUAUAUUUUCCUACGCUUGAAAAAGGCUUUAAAACUAGAGGGACCGCUGUUCUAUUCUCUUAAACCAGAGGAAGAUUGCGGCAAUAACAGGUCUGUGAUGCCCUCAGAUGUUCCGGGCUGCACACGUGCUACAAUGAUUGUUGCAGUGAGCAUCUAUUUUCAAACGCUACCGUUGCGGAUUUUGUGAGAAGGGGGAUUUGUUUUAAAGCUUCGNCAGAGAAGCAGGUUCUUUUUUUUCACAAUUUAUUCCGCGUUACGUGUCAGCUAAACCUGCUUCGAAAGCAAGUAGGU
rnacentral:rRNA from 1 species